GACGAACGCUGGCGGCGUGCUUAACACAUGCAAGUCGAGCGAGGCCCACCCCUCGGGGUGGUGUGCUAGCGGAGAACGGGUGAGUAACACGUGGGUGACCUGUCCUUCACUCUUGGAUAAGCCGGGGAAACUGCGUCUAAUACCGGAUAUGACCUCGUCCUGCAUGGUGUGGGGUGGACAGCUUUUGUGGGGGGGGAUGGGCACGCGGCAAAUCAGGUUUUUGGUGGGGUCAUGGCCUACCAAGGCUUCGACGGGUAGCCGGCCUGAGAGGGCGUCCGGCCACACUGGGACUGAGACACGGCCCAGACUCCUACGGGAGGCAGCAGUGGGGAAUAUUGCGCAAUGGGCGGAAGCCUGACGCAGCGACGCCGCGUGGGGGAUGACGGCCUUCGGGUUGUAAACCUCUUUCGACCUCGACGAAGAGUGAUUGACGGUAGGGGUGGAAGAAGCACCGGCCAACUACGUGCCAGCAGCCGCCGUAACAC
rnacentral:rRNA from 1 species